GACUGGGGCGGUCGCCUCCUAAAGAGUAACGGAGGCGCUCAAAGGUUCCCUCAGAAUGGUUGGAAAUCAUUCAUAGAGUGUAAAGGCAUAAGGGAGCUUGACUGCGAGACCUACAAGUCGAGCAGGGUCGAAAGACGGACUUAGUGAUCCGGUGGUUCCGCAUGGAAGGGCCAUCGCUCAACGGAUAAAAGCUACCCCGGGGAUAACAGGCUUAUCUCCCCCAAGAGUUCACAUCGACGGGGAGGUUUGGCACCUCGAUGUCGGCUCAUCGCAUCCUGGGGCUGUAGUCGGUCCCAAGGGUUGGGCUGUUCGCCCAUUAAAGCGGUACGCGAGCUGGGUUCAGAACGUCGUGAGACAGUUCGGUCCCUAUCCGUCGUGGGCGUAGGAAAUUUGAGAGGAGCUGUCCUUAGUACGAGAGGACCGGGAUGGACAUACCUCUGGUGUACCAGUUGUCGUGCCAACGGCAUAGCUGGGUAGCUAUGUAUGGACGGGAUAAGUGCUGAAAGCAUCUAAGCAUGAAGCCCCCCUCGAGAUGAGAUUUCCCAACUUCGGUUAUAAGAUCCCUCAAAGAUGAUGAGGUGAAUAGGUUCGAGGUGGAAGCGUAGCGAUACGUGGAGCUGACGAAUACUA
rnacentral:rRNA from 1 species